rnacentral:lncRNA from 1 species
GGGGUCUGUGCAGGUGGGGACUGUAAAGUAGGGGGCAGCGGGGGGAACUGGAGGCAACUGUGGGGUCUCUGGGGACGGGGAGUCACUGGGGUGCUGGGGGAGGUGGGAAUGGGGCUGUCCCUGCUUCUUAGCUCCAGUUUCUGCUCCUCUUUUGUCAUACAGGGCAUCCCUGGUGCUACUGGACCCAUAGGCCCUUCUGGCCCCCCUGGACUUCCUGGCCCAGCUGGUCCCAAAGGUGCCAAGGGAGCCAUGGGCCAAGCAGGACCC